UACAGCCAUAUCUCAUUGAAACACUGGUUCCUGUAUGAUCACCGAAGUUAAGCAACAUCAAACCUGGUCAGUACCUAGACAAGUGACUGCAUGGGAAUACCAGGUGCUGUAAG